rnacentral:tRNA from 1 species
CGAAUCCUUCCGUCCCAGA